AAACAGCUAGUUUAAAAAAAAAUAUUUGAUUUCGACUCAAAAGCUUGUGGUCAAAUUCCGCAGCUGUUUA
rnacentral:tRNA from 1 species